AAGGCGGCGAAAGCCGCUCUAAUACCGCAUGAGACCACAGUACUGAUGGUACAGGGGUCAAAGGAGCAAUCCGGUGAGAGAUGGGCUCGCGUCCGAUUAGGUAGUUGGUGAGGUAAAGGCCCACCAAGCCAAUGAUCGGUAGCCGGCCUGAGAGGGUGAACGGCCACAUUGGAACUGAGAGACGGUCCAAACUCCUACGGGAGGCAGCAGUGGGGAAUAUUGGGCAAUGGGGGAAACCCUGACCCAGCAACGCCGCGUGAGGGAAGAAGGUUUUCGGAUUGUAAACCUCUGUUCUUGGUGAAGAGAAGAAGACGGUAGCCAAGGAGGAAGCCCCGGCUAACUACGUGCCAGCAGCCGCGGUAAUACGUAGGGGGCAAGCGUUGUCCGGAAUGAUUGGGCGUAAAGGGCGCGUAGGCGGCUGAUCAAGUCAGUAGUGGAAGUCCAUAUUUCAAGUAUGGAAGUGCUAUUGGAACUGAACAACUUGAGUGCAGGAGAGGUUAUCGGAAUUCCCGGUGUAGCGGUGAAAUGCGUAGAGAUCGGGAGGAACACCAGUGGCGAAGGCGGGUAACUGGACUGCAACUGACGCUGAGGCGCGAAAGUGUGGGGAGCAAACAGGAUUAGAUACCCUGGUAGUCCACACGGUAAACGAUG
rnacentral:rRNA from 1 species